AUUGAACGCUGGCGGCAGGCCUAACACAUGCAAGUCGAGCGGAUGAAGGGAGCUUGCUCCUGGAUUCAGCGGCGGACGGGUGAGUAAUGCCUAGGAAUCUGCCUGGUAGUGGGGGAUAACGUCCGGAAACGGGCGCUAAUACCGCAUACGUCCUGAGGGAGAAAGUGGGGGAUCUUCGGACCUCACGCUAUCAGAUGAGCCUAGGUCGGAUUAGCUAGUUGGUGGGGUAAAGGCCUACCAAGGCGACGAUCCGUAACUGGCCUGAGAGGAUGAUCAGUCACACUAGAACUGAGACACGGUCCAGACUCCUACGGGAGGCAGCAGUGGGGAAUAUUGGACAGUGGGCGAAAGCCUGAUCCAGCCAUGCCGCGUGUGUGAAGAGGGUCUUCGGAUUGUAAAGCACUUUAAGUUGGGAGGAAGGGCAGUAAGUUAAUACCUUGCUGUUUUGACGUUACCAACAGAAUAAGCACCGGCUAACUUCGUG
rnacentral:rRNA from 1 species